GCAGCGGCUGGCAGGCGCAGCGACAUCGGGGCAUGGGUGUUCAGUACGCUCCUGAAUGCCGCCCUGCUGUGGGGAUUCCUUCACUCCUACUGCACCGCGAGGUGAGAGCGCCGUGAGGUUGAUUUCAGUGUGUCAUCUUAUUGGAAAACUAUUAGCCGCAGAAUUUAGCAACAGAAGACGCGCGUGUGGCCUACGGAGAGAAUAACGCGCGCGGUAUGGCCAAGGAAGAGAAACGCGAGUGACUGUCGUGGCUCUCGCCGGACACGAACGUCGCUUGCGCCGGGCUGGUCUGCUUAUAGCUGUUGCUACUCCAGACUCGACGACAAGUGCUAUCCUCAUGAGGCCAGACAAGUCGUUGUGCCAAUCCAGCAAGAGUGUCCAACAGCGGAAAGUCAUCUGAAGAAUCAUGUCCCAGUGAGUAGUCCAGCUCCAGCAACAAGACCACAUCUGGUUUCCACCAAGAAGCUGGACCAGCGGCAUUGUACUCAGGUAAGCUCAUGAAUUUUUUUGCAAUCCAGACAUGGCAGAGUCAAAUUUAUACUAAUAGCUAACAUCAGCUUACUGUGGUUUAUA